rnacentral:misc_RNA from 1 species
GAUGAAGAACGCAGCGAAAUGCGAUACGUAAUGUGAAUUGCAAAUUCAGUGAAUCAUCGAGUCAUUGAACGCACAUUGCGCCCCCUGGUAUUCCGGGGGGCAUGCCUGUCCGAGCGUCAUUGCUGCCCUCAAGCAUGGCUUGUGUGUUGGGCCCCGUCCUCCGAUCCCGGGGGACGGGCCCGAAAGGCAGCGGCGGCACCGCGUCCGGUCCUCGAGCGUAUGGGGCUUUGUCACCCGCUCUGUAGGCCCGGCCGGCGCUUGCCGAUCAACCCAAAUUUUUAUCCAGGUUGACCUCGGAUCAGGUAGGGAUACCCGCUGAACUUAAGCAUAUCAAUAAGCGGAGGA